UAGAGUUAUAAAACUCCCAACCCAUGUGAACUUACCACUGUUGCCUCGGCGGACCUACCCUGUAGCGACCUACCCUGUAGCGAGUUACCCUGUAACGACCUACCCAGUAGCGACCUCUCGGCAGCUCUCCGCCGGCGGACUUUCAAACUAUUGUUAUCCGAGUCAUCUGAGCGUCUUAUUUUAAAUAAGUCA
rnacentral:misc_RNA from 1 species